rnacentral:rRNA from 1 species
UGUCAGCAGCCGCGGUAAUACGGAGGAUCCAAGCGUUAUCCGGAAUCAUUGGGUUUAAAGGGUCCGUAGGCGGUUUGAUAAGUCAGUGGUGAAAGCCCAUCGCUCAACGAUGGAACGGCCAUUGAUACUGUUAGACUUGAAUUAUUUGGAAGUAACUAGAAUAUGUAGUGUAGCGGUGAAAUGCUUAGAGAUUACAUGGAAUACCAAUUGCGAAGGCAGGUUACUACAAAUGGAUUGACGCUGAUGGACGAAAGCGUGGGUAGCGAACAGGAUUAGAUACCCUGGUAGUCCACGCCGUAAACGAUGGAUACUAGCUGUUGGGAGUAAUCUCAGUGGCUAAGCGAAAGUGAUAAGUAUCCCACCUGGGGAGUACGUUCGCAAGAAUGAAACUCAAAGGAAUUGACGG